CAUCUAGAGAGUUCAAGAGAAAGAAAACGAAAUGACAAGAGAAAGAAAGAAGAGAAGAGAAGAGAAACUUAAGCUAGAAAGAAGAAAGAGCUACGAUUUUUGGGAGGAGAAAAAGCCCAAAAGGUUACCAAACAGUCCCUAAGUUUCAGCUGCACUAAAGGAAAUUCCGAGGCAAGUUUUGACGAGUUUUGAUGAAUUUCGGGAAAGGUUCAAGAGACGACGAGGCGAGCAUAGUUAAGAGUAAUCCGUAAGAGGUAUGUAAAGGCUAACCUUUCUUUCUUUUGGCAUGUCUUUGUCAUAAGUAUGUAAAGCUUAUUCUUUCUCUUGGUAUGUUUUGGCAUAAAUAUGUAAAGCUAAUCUUUCUUUUGGGCAUGGUAUUUAUGAAACAAAAAUAUGACUUUUAUAUAAUUUUAAAGAAGUUCCCAUUCCUAAAGCCAUUAGGAUGGCCAAUUUCUUGAUUUCCGAAAGGUAUUUUAUUAUGCUUCGAUAUGUGUAUAUGAUUCCAGAAGAUUUAUUUUGAUAUAAUCCAGGGUAACUUUUGAAAGGUACUUGACAUGACUCUUGUCUCGAUUUUUAAAUGAUAGCUCAUUCUGAUUAAUCCAUCGAGUCUCAAAUAUGAUUUAAUUUGCAUUAGUUUCUCACUACUCCACUCGUGGAUGCCUCAAUGCUUCCUUCACUGAGCCCGAGCCAGAAUAUGUUAUCGUGCGUACUUCUCUGCAUUGUUCGCCGUGUCCCGACGUGAGGGGAACGAUAUGACAUGUACAUGGGGUGGUGUAUGUUAUGCCAUGAAGUUAUGUUGUGCCAUGUACACAUAUGCUUAUGAUAUGAUAUGAUACGAUUUGAUAUGGCCAUCUGAUAUAUGAUAUGAUCUGUUACGAAGAUAUUCCCUACUCUGGUGUUAUGCUGUGCUGUGGCGCCAAUGACGGAAGGGCGACCACAUUUGUUCAUCGAUUCCCACAAUGGGGCCGGAUAUGACAUAUGUUUUUCUACAUACAUUAUCUGUGGUUUUGAUAAGCAUUUGAUAUCUCUGGAUAUUUUGCUCAGUAUUGUACAUUCUAUUCUGGUAAUGGCUUUACUUAUUACAGUCCAUGCUUUACAUACUCGGUACAUUUUCCGUACUGACCUCCUUUCUUCGGAGGUUGCGUUACAUGCCCGCAGGUACAGAUGUUCGUUUUGCUGACCCGCCUGCUUAGAACAUCUGUCGUGUCGUUGACAGUGCUCCCUUGUCCGAAGCUUAUCUUUUGGUACUGACUUUUUCUCUGUAUAUUUGUAUAUGUUGGUCAGGGGUACGACGGGGCCCUGUCCCGUCAUAUGACUAGGCUAUCAUCUGUAGAGGUCUGUAGACAGAGUUAUGUUGUGGGUUUUGUAUAUAUAUUUUGGGUUUUGUGUGAUU